AGAGUUGAUCCUGGCUCAGGAUGAACGCUAGCGGCAGGCUUAACACAUGCAAGUCGAGGGGCAGCGGGGUGUAGCAAUACACUGCCGGCGACCGGCGCACGGGUGCGUAACGCGUAUGCAACCUGCCCGCAACAGGGGUAUAACGGAGUGAAAACCCCACUAAUCCCCCAUAUUGUCACCUGGUCGCAUGGCCUGGUGACGAAAGGUUUAAUCUGGUUGCGGAUGGGCAUGCGUGACAUUAGGUAGUUGGCGGGGCAACGGCCCACCAAGCCGACGAUGUCUAGGGGAGCUGAGAGGCUUAUCCCCCACACUGGUACUGAGACACGGACCAGACUCCUACGGGAGGCAGCAGUGAGGAAUAUUGGUCAAUGGGAGGAAUCCUGAACCAGCCAUGCCCGCGUGGGGGAAGAAGGUCCUAUGGGUUGUAAACCCCUUUUGCUCCGGAGUAAUAAGUUCCUUGCGAGGGACGAUGAGAGUACGGGGCGAAUAAGCAUCGGCUAACUCCGUGCCAGCAGCAGC
rnacentral:rRNA from 1 species